UGAGAUAGAAGGCCGUUAUUACACAGUCUA
rnacentral:piRNA from 1 species